CCUACGGGUGGCAGCAGUGAGGAAUAUUGGUCAAUGGACGAGAGUCUGAACCAGCCAAGUAGCGUGAAGGAUGACUGCCCUAUGGGUUGUAAACUUCUUUUAUAAAGGAAUACAACGAGGCACGUGUGCCUUUUUGCAUGUACUUUAUGAAUAAGGAUCGGCUAACUCCGUGCCAGCCGCCGCGGUAAUACGGAGAAUCCGAGCGUUAUCCGGAUUUAUUGGGUUUAAAGGGAGCGUAGCUGGUUUGUUAAGUCAGUUGUGAAAGUUUGCGGCUCAACCGUAAAAUUGCAAUUGAUACUGGCAGUCUUGAGUACAGUUGAGGUAGGCGGAAUUCGAGGUGUAGCGGUGAAAUGCUUAGAUAUCACGAAGAACCCCGAUUGCGAAGGCAGCUUACUAAACUGUGACUGACAUUGAUGCACGAAAGUGUGGGUAUCGAACAGGAUUAGAUACCCCGGUAGUC
rnacentral:rRNA from 1 species